AAAUUUGUAAUAAUAACAAUAAUAAUCUUUGACAAGGACUUUUGCAUUUUUGUAGGUGUACGUAAGUAAUUUCCAAUUUACAUGGAGUUACAAGAACAUGAGGGAGAGAGUAGUUACAUAUGGCGAUUGUGAGCAUUGAAGGGUAGUGCCUUUUGGCGGUUCCACAUGCAAGUCAACACCCCAACUCAAGGGUGGCAAACAUGGAUCAAAACUGAAAGAUUCCGGCAAGGAUACUAUUGAUCCGCCACCCAAAAACUAUCCCCCUGCCGAGGUGAAUUAGGUUGGUGGGCAGCAACGAUGAUGCUAAAGAUGGCAAGGACAGCAAUAACAAGGACGGCAAGGACACCAACGUUAAUUCCUUUUUAGGUGUCUAUACGGAUGUUACCAAAUUUCCAUAUACUGGGUGCCCAACAUCCACCUAAUCUCUUUGGGCAGUUUAAGUGGAGGUACUCGGCGUUUAUGAUUAUUCAGAUAAAUCCAUAGGAUUGCGAGCCGUUGAACCAAUUACAGAUGGUGAUCGUAACUAUAAAAAACGAUUCCAGGCCAUUCUCCAGCCACUCUCGCGUUGUACCACGAAUGUUCCAAAAUACAUUAUCCUUGCUGUCACGUCAGAUGAUCCAACAGUUUCUCGACGAACUGGUGUGGUGAGAAUCUUUUGGCACAUACGCAUUACAGGCAUUUAAAAACAUUAUAAUACAUAUAGCCGAGCAGACCAGAUUGACCAGCAAUGAGACCAUUACCCAAAGGUUCUAUCAGGUGGCCACCAAUCCCUUCAAGGAUUGAAGUAUUUUAAGGGCCAUGUACAAGGAGACACCGGCCAAUGCUGCACCCAAACGGCUUAAGAAACGUUAGUAAUUAGUCAGCCGAGAAUCCUCUAACCUCUUAUCCCUGUUUAUACUUUUAAGAUUGUAAUGAGAAUGACUUAUUUUUUUAACUAGUUAAUUUGCCAGCAUUAUUUAACUCCAAAAAGAAAAACCAAAAACAAACAAACGAUUCAAAAAAAAAAAUUUUUUCACUUAGAUUAGUUUUGUGUACAUAUAAAAUAUCAGCUUAAAAUAAUUUAUCCUAAUUAGCUAUCUAAUUUUGUGAGUAA